UCAAUUUCAUCAAUGGAUUAAGCCCAUUGGUGUAGUCAGUGCUGGGCGGGGCUGUUAGGGGGUAGGGUCUGAGAAAGUAGAUUUCCGGGGGUGUGGCUUGCCCCUGCAUCCUUCCUGUGACUGCUUCCUGACUUCACUGAUGUGAGCAGCCUUGUUUGUAUCACGUUUGUCAUGUUCUGCUGUGCCACAGACCCAUAGCAAGGUGGCGGCUGAGGACACCCGGUUAACCCCUCUGAAAUCCACUCUAAGGUCAAAGGCAUCGCAAACUGACUGAAGUGGCCGGCUCAGUUCAUCCUGCCUGCUCUAGUUUGAGGAGGAAGGAAGACCCAGACUCAGGAAGCUUGGACCCCCUCCCUGUGGCUGCACAAACAGCGACCAUUCUCUGGGGAAGAGCAGACUCUUCGAUGGAGCUGUCUACAAGUUGUACAGAAAGUCUAAGAAAGCAGUUUUCAUGUAUGACAUCACCUAUGCUGGACCUUUGGGUGAUGCAACUACUUUAGAGUCACCCUUGCUCAUAUAAGCACCCCUCAUUCUCCUGUAAGGAACUCCAAUAAAGUCACUACU